rnacentral:rRNA from 1 species
AUGCCAGGCGAGUUCACCAAGUACUUGGCCAUCGACCCCGAGGAAUUCGUGUUGAGGAUGAACACCGACUGCGUCUGGAAGGUGACGGCCCGGAUGAUCACCGCCAGGCUCUCCCUUGAUCAGGGUUGGCCCUCCUUGAUCAUUGUUCAUCAGAUCAAGAUCAGAUACCUCGUCACCUUCAAGCUGGCGACUGCUAACACCCUAAAGGUGAUCUUCUUCAACGACGAUGGCAUCGAGGUGGUAAACAAGUGCCAGAAGCACGAGGAGGGUUGCCAAGGAAGUUAUCUCGCAACCUUCAAGACUUGCGUACGAUGUUAA